UCCGUAGGUGAACCUGCGGAAGGAUCAUUAACAAACAACUGAACUAAUAACUAACUGGAGCAGUGCGCAAGCACUCCUGAACUUUACAAUCAACCCAAUAAACUAAUUUGGUUGACAAAAUCUAAAUUUUCAACGAUGGAUGUCUAGGCUCCCAUAUCGAUGAAGAACGCAGCAAGAAUGCGAAAUGCAAUGUGAAUUGCAGAACCACGAAUCAUCGGAUCUUUGAACGCAACUGGCACCAGUCUCUGACUGGUAUACUUGUUUCAGUGUGCUCAACCAACCAAACCAUCUCAGUGUGAGAGAACUUCUCUCAUCAAGUAAAUGCUCUCUGCAGCAGUCACAGCCUUCUGUGAGCUCCAAGGAGACCUCAGACUUCUUGUCACCUGAAAUCAAGUAAGAUGACCCGCUGGACUUAAGCAUAUUACUAAGCGGAGGAAAAGAAAUUAACAAAGAUUGCCUUAGUAAGGGCGACUGAACCGGCAAGAGCUCAAAAUUGGAAUCGGAAAUUCAAAGAAUUUUCGAAUUGUAAUCAGGUCGGCUUAAAUACACGAAUUACCUCAACAUCAUCGAAUAGAUGGCCAUAGAGGGUGAAAGCCCCGUGAAGGGAGAUUCGUGGAUAAAGCAGGCCGCACAAGAGUCGGGUUGUUUGGGAAUGCAGCCCUAAAUGGGUGGUAAACUUCAUCUAAAGCUAAAUACCGGCGAGAGACCGAUAGCGAAAAAGUACCGUGAGGGAAAGAUGCAAAGAACUUUGAAAAGAGAGUUAAAAAGUGCUUGAAAUUGCUGAAAGGGAAACGCUUGAAGU
rnacentral:rRNA from 1 species